rnacentral:rRNA from 1 species
GCCUACGACCAUAUCACCCUGAAUGCGCCCGAUCUCGUCUGAUCUCGGAAGCUAAGCAUGGUCGAGCCUGGUUAGUACUUGGAUGGGAGACUACCUGGGAAUACCAGGUGUUGUAGGCU